UGGGGAAUUUUGGACAAUGGGGGAAACCCUGAUCCAGCCAUCCCGCGUGUGCGAUGAAGGCCUUCGGGUUGUAAAGCACUUUUGGCAGGAAAGAAACGUCAUGGGUUAAUACCCCGUGAAACUGACGGUACCUGCAGAAUAAGCACCGGCUAACUACGUGCCAGCAGCCGCGGUAAUACGUAGGGUGCAAGCGUUAAUCGGAAUUACUGGGCGUAAAGCGUGCGCAGGCGGUUCGGAAAGAAAGAUGUGAAAUCCCAGAGCUCAACUUUGGAACUGCAUUUUUAACUACCGGGCUAGAGUGUGUCAGAGGGAGGUGGAAUUCCGCGUGUAGCAGUGAAAUGCGUAGAUAUGCGGAGGAACACCGAUGGCGAAGGCAGCCUCCUGGGAUAACACUGACGGUCAUGCACGAAAGCGUGGGGAGCAAACAGG
rnacentral:rRNA from 1 species